ensembl:ncRNA K10H10.11 ncRNA
GUAACAGUGAUCGAGAGUCGGGUGCUAGACUGUAAGUGAGGAAUAACAUUACCUGACAAUGCUGCCUUCCUUCUGAGUUA